rnacentral:rRNA from 1 species
GAAAUUCGACUUCAUGAAGCUGGAAUUGCUAGUAAUGGCAGGUCAGCAUACUGCCGUGAAUACGUUCCCGGGCCCUUGUACACACCGCCCGUCACACCAUGAGAGUUGGGAAUACCCGAAGCCUGUGAGCUAACUGUAAAGAGGCAGCAGUCGAAGGUAGAAUCAAUGAUUGGGGUGAAGUCGUAACAAGGUACC